AUCCCAUGAUGUGGACAGGUGGCCACAUACUCCUGCAGUCAUUCCCAUGCUUCAGGAAUGGACUCAUCCAUUGUUUGCUAGAAACUAGAAAUCCUUCCACAAAGGGC
rnacentral:snoRNA from 1 species